AUUUUAAUAAUUAAACUCUAUUAUAUUAUUUACAUUGAAGAUGUAAAUUCAAAAAGAGUA
rnacentral:tRNA from 1 species